rnacentral:rRNA from 1 species
AGAAUCAACGCUGGCGGCGUGCCUAACACAUGCAAGUCGAACGAGAAAGUGGAGCAAUCCACGAGUAAAGUGGCGCACGAGUGAGUAACACGUGACUAACCUACCCUUGAGUGGGGAAUAACUGAGGGAAACCUUAGCUAAUACCGCAUAACACCUACGGGUCAAAGGAGCAAUUCGCUUAAGGAGGGGUCGCGGCAGAUUAGUUAGUUGGCGGGGUAAUGGCCCACCAAGACAGUGAUCUGUA